ACGAACGCUGGCGGCGUGGAUAAGACAUGCAAGUCGAACGGGAGAAUUGCUAGCUUGCUAAUAAUUCUCUAGUGGCGCACGGGUGAGUAACACGUGAGUAACCUGCCUCUUAGUGGGGGAUAGCCCUGGGAAACCGGGAUUAAUACCGCAUACGAUUGAAAGAUCAAAGCAGCAAUGCGCUAGGAGAUGGGCUCGCGGCCUAUUAGUUAGUUGGUGAGGUAACGGCUCACCAAGGCGAUGACGGGUAGCCGGUCUGAGAGGAUGUCCGGCCACACUGGAACUGAGACACGGUCCAGACACCUACGGGUGGCAGCAGUCGAGAAUCAUUCACAAUGGGGGCAACCCUGAUGGUGCGACGCCGCGUGGGGGAAUGAAGGUCUUCGGAUUGUAAACCCCUGUCAUGUGGGAGCAAAUUAAAAAGAUAGUACCACAAGAGGAAGAGACGGCUAACUCUGUGCCAGCAGCCGCGGUAAUACAGAGGUCUCAAGCGUUGUUCGGAAUCACUGGGCGUAAAGCGUGCGUAGGCUGUUUCGUAAGUCGUGUGUGAAAGGCAGGGGCUCAACCCCUGGAUUGCACAUGAUACUGCGAGACUAGAGUAAUGGAGGGGGAACCGGAAUUCUCGGUGUAGCAGUGAAAUGCGUAGAUAUCGAGAGGAACACUCGUGGCGAAGGCGGGUUCCUGGACAUUAACUGACGCUGAGGCACGAAGGCCAGGGGAGCGAAAGGGAUUAGAUACCCCUGUAGUCCUGGCAGUAAACGGUGCACGCUUGGUGUGCGGGGAAUCGACCCCCUGCGUGCCGGAGCUAACGCGUUAAGCGUGCCGCCUGGGGAGUACGGUCGCAAGAUUAAAACUCAAAGAAAUUGACGGGGACCCGCACAAGCGGUGGAGUAUGUGGCUUAAUUCGAUGCAACGCGAAGAACCUUACCUGGGCUUGACAUGUAAUGAACAACAUGUGAAAGCAUGCGACUCUUCGGAGGCGUUACACAGGUGCUGCAUGGCCGUCGUCAGCUCGUGUCGUGAGAUGUUUGAUUAAGUCCAGCAACGAGCGCAACCCCUGUUGCCAGUUACCAUCGAGUAAUGUCGGGGACUCUGGCGAGACUGCCCAGAUCAACUGGGAGGAAGGUGGGGACGACGUCAGGUCAGUAUGGCCCUUAUGCCCAGGGCUGCACACGUACUACAAUGCCCAGUACAGAGGGGGCCGAAGCCGCGAGGCGGAGGAAAUCCUGAAAACUGGGCCCAGUUCGGACUGUAGGCUGCAACCCGCCUACACGAAGCCGGAAUCGCUAGUAAUGGCGCAUCAGCUACGGCGCCGUGAAUACGUUCCCGGGUCUUGUACACACCGCCCGUCACAUCAUGGAAGCCGGUCGCACCCGAAGUAUCUGAAGCCAACCGCAAGGAGGCAGGGUCCUAAGGUGAGACUGGUAACUGGGAUG
rnacentral:rRNA from 1 species